CGCUGGCGGCAUGCCUCAUACAUGCAAGUCGAACGAGGUCUUCGGACCUAGUGGCGCACGGGUGAGUAACAUGUGGGAAUCUACCUGAAGGUUCGGAAUAACUGCGGGAAACUGUAGCUAAUACCGGAUGUGUCUGCAAAGAGAAAGAUUUAUCGCCUUCAGAUGAGCCCGCACUAGAUUAGCUAGUUGGUGAGGUAACUGCUCCACCAAGGCUACGAUCUAUAGCUGAUUUGAGAGGAUGAUCAGCCACACUGGGACUGAGACACGGCCCAGACUCCUACGGGAGGCAGCAGUAGGGAAUAUUGGACAAUGGGGGAAACCCUGAUCCAGCAAUGCCGCGUGAGUGAAGAAGGCCUUCGGGUUGUAAAACUCUUUCAUCAAUGAUGAUAAUGACAUUAGUUGAAGAAGAAGCUCCGGCUAACUUCGUGCCAGCAGCCGCGGUAAUACGAAGGGGGCUAGCGUUGUUCGGAAUCACUGGGCGUAAAGCGUAUGUAGGCGGAUCAAAAAGUUAGAUGUGAAAUCCCUGGGCUCAACCCAGGAACUGCAUUUAAAACUAGUGAUCUAGAAUUUGGUAGGGGUUAGUAGAAUUUCCAGUGUAGAGGUGAAAUUCGUAGAUAUUGGAAAGAAUACCAGUGGCGAAGGCGACUAACUGGGCCAUUUUUGACGCUGAGAUACGAAAGCGUGGGUAGCAAACAGGAUUAGAUACCCUGGUAGUCCACGCAGUAAACGAUGAGUGCUAGUCGCUGGGACAAUAGUUUCAGUGUCGAAGCUAACGCAUUAAGCACUCCGCCU
rnacentral:rRNA from 1 species